UACAGAGGCCUCGAGCGUUAGGCGGAAUCCCUGGGCUUAAAGCGUGUGUAGGCGGACUUCUAAGUACCUUGUGAAAUCCCACAGCUUAACUGUGGAACUGCUUGGUAUACUGGUUGUCUUGAGGUACCUAGGGGCGAGCGGAACAAGUGGUGGAGCGGUGAAAUGCGUAGAUAUCAUUUGGAACGCCAAUGGUGAAAACAGGUAGCUGGGGAUGUGCUGACGCUGAGACACGAAAGCCAGGGGAGCAAACGGG
rnacentral:rRNA from 1 species